rnacentral:rRNA from 1 species
UACGUAGGGGGGCUAGCGUUGUCCCGGAUUUAUUGGGCGUAAAGAGCGUGUAGGCGGCCAGGUAGGUCUGCUGUGAAAACUCGAGGCUCAACCUCGAGAUGUCGGCGGAAACCAUCUGGCUAGAGUCCGGAAGAGGAAAGUGGAAUUUCCGGUGUAGCGGUGAAAUGCGUAGAUAUCGGAAGGAACAUCAGUGGCGAAGGCGACUUCCUGGACCAAUACUGACGCUCAGGUGCGAAAGCGUGGGGAGCAAACAGG